rnacentral:rRNA from 1 species
GCUUGCUUGCUUUGCUGACGAGUGGCGGACGGGUGAGUAAUGUCUGGGAAACUGCCUGAUGGAGGGGGAUAACUACUGGAAACGGUAGCUAAUACCGCAUAACGUCGCAAGACCAAAGAGGGGGACCUUCGGGCCUCUUGCCAUCGGAUGUGCCCAGAUGGGAUUAGCUUGUUGGUGGGGUAACGGCUCACCUAGGCGACGAUCCCUAGCUGGUCUGAGAGGAUGACCAGCCACACUGGAACUGAGACACGGUCCAGACUCCUACGGGAGGCAGCAGUGGGGAAUAUUGCACAAUGGGCGCAAGCCUGAUGCAGCCAUGCCGCGUGUAUGAAGAAGGCCUUCGGGUUGUAAAGUACUUUCAGCGGGGAGGAAGGGAGUAAAGUUAAUACCUUUGCUCAUUGACGUUACCCGCAGAAGAAGCACCGGCUAACUCCGUGCCAGCAGCCGCGGUAAUACGGAGGGUGCAAGCGUUAAUCGGAAUUACUGGGCGUAAAGCGCACGCAGGCGGUUUGUUAAGUCAGAUGU